rnacentral:rRNA from 1 species
GACGAACGCUGGCGGCGUGCUUAACACAUGCAAGUCGAACGGAAAGGGCCUGCCUUGGUGGGGCGCUUGAGUGGCGAACGGGUGAGUAACACGUGAGUAACCUGCCCUUGACUUUGGGAUAACUUCAGGAAACUGGAGCUAAUACCGGAUAGGAGCUCCUACUGCAUGGUGGGGGCUGGAAAGUUUCGGCGGUUGGGGUUGGACUUGCGGCUGAUCAGCUUGAUGGUGGGGUAGUGGCUUACCAAUGCUUUGACGGGUAGCCGUCCUGGGAGGGUGACAGGCCACAUUGGGACUGAGAUAGGACCCGGACGGCAACGGGAGGCAGCGGUGGAGAAUAUUGCAAGAUAGGCGGCAGGCGGGUACAAGAACGCCGGGUGGGGGAUGACGGUUGUAGGGUUGUAAACCGCUUUCGCCUGUGACGAAGCGAGAGUGACGGUAAUGGGUAAAGAAGCACCGGCUAACUACGUG